AGUGUAGUACUAACUUUUCUUGACCUAAAAGUGCUUUCUCCACCUCUUUUGUGUUUUUUCAAGAGAUGACUAGUGUGAGUAGCAGCAAGAUGGUUCACGCGUACAAGGCCUUAUCUCUCAUCCUUUUCAUCUCUCUCUUAAUUUUGGUUGAAUUGGCUCCAAUAUUGGAAGCCAGAUUAACAAACAAUAUCCCAGCCAAUCAAGUAGUACCAAAGACGACAAGAUACCACGGCAAGUUUGGAGACAAUAAAAUCGGUGGCGGCCAACAUCAUUCACUACAAGAAAACAGGCCUUUCUCAACGCCAGUUUUCGUCGCAAUUACCCCCCCAAUUCGCUGCAGUCCCUUGCUCUCGACGAUAAGCAAAACGCCGCACGUUGGUUGAGAUUAAGUGCAUUUUUUUUAUGACAGUCAGCGAGAUGUGAAAAUCGCCGCAACUGGUGUUCCUGUUCCCGCGAAUAGAUUUCGCCGCGAAAACUGAAAUACUCGCCACAAAUGCGUGUCACAACAUGCCAACUUAUCAACGGAAUCAAUUGCUUUCGUCAAUUUAUUGCGACGCAAAAUAUUGAAUAAGUCGACGCAAUUAACUUCGCCUCUCGCCGGCGUCUCAGUAAUCGCCGUAACUACGAUUUAUAGCCGCGAUGGAUGUCGACGUAAAAUCUGCCGCUAUCGCUGGAAAUCUGCUGUCUCGACCAAACUAGAGUCUGUCGUAAUAUGUCUAUUCUGGGAUUUAAUUUCUUCUGGCGGCGUUCCUUCAUCGCCGCAAUAAGCUAUUUCCCAACGAUGUUUGCAUACGACGGAAAUGUGUAUGACCCAACGUCUGACUCUUGCAACGGCA